rnacentral:lncRNA from 1 species
UAAAACAUCAAAAGAGGGAUGUUUUUUAUUGAAAUUUGGUGGUGCAGUUAUCAGUUACUGAUAAAUCUUCUUUCAUCAGUCCUCCAACGUUUUAAGAGUAGCUCUUCCAAGUAUCUUCCUGAUGGUCGAUUUCUAUUUUUAGUCAUUUUCGAUCCUGCCUUUGAAAACAGUCUUUCGCAGGUACCGAGGAGGCCAUUACAAUCAUAUGAAUCAUAUGGCUUUAAUGGCUUCCUCGGUACCCUGCGAAAGACUGUGUGAGGGUCAAGAACGCGAGUUGGAUAUAAAGUAUCUCACCUUUCUCCUAGAUUAC